GACGAACGCUGGCGGCGUGCUUAACACAUGCAAGUCGAACGGAAAGGCCCUACUUUUGUGGGGUGCUCGAGUGGCGAACGGGUGAGUAACACGUGAGUAACCUGCCCUUGACUUUGGGAUAACUUCAGGAAACUGGGGCUAAUACCGGAUAGGAGCUCCUGCUGCAUGGUGGGGGUUGGAAAGCUUCGGCGGUUGGGGAUGGACUUGGGGCUUAUCAGCUUGUUGGUGGGGUAGUGGCUUACCAAGGCUUUGACGGGUAGUCGGCCUGGGAGGGUGACCGGGCACAUUGGGACUGAGAUACGGACCAGACUGCUACGGGAGGCAGCAGUGGGGAAUAUUGCACAAUGGGCGGAAGCCUGAUGCAGCAACGCCGCGUGCGGGAUGACGGCCUUCGGGUUGUAAACCGCUUUCGCCUGUGACGAAGCGUGAGUGACGGUAAUGGGUAAAGAAGCACCGGCUAACUACGUG
rnacentral:rRNA from 1 species